UCUUAUGACCAUUACUGCCUUGAAUGCACACAAUCUGGUCUGAUCUCAGAAGCUAAGCAGGGUUGAGCCAGGUUAGUACAUGGACGGGAGACAGCCCUGGGUAUUGACUGCCAGACACCAAGGAUUCUAAGAU
rnacentral:rRNA from 1 species